GACGUAGGGCGCGAGCGUUGUCCGGAUUUAUUGGGCGUAAAGAGCUCGUAGGCGGCUUGUUGCGUCAGCUGUGAAAACCCGCAGCUCAACUGUGGGCUUGCAGCUGAUACGGGCAGGCUCGAGUGCCGGAGGGGAGAGUGGAAUUCCUGGUGUAGCGGUGAAAUGCGUAGAUAUCAGGAGGAACACCAAUGGCGAAGGCAGCACUCUGGGACGUGACUGACGCUGAGACGCGAAAGCGUGGGGAGCAAACAGG
rnacentral:rRNA from 1 species